UUGCCGCUUCACUCGCCGUUACUAGGGCAAUCCCUGUUGGUUUCUUUUCCUCCGCUUAUUGAUAUGCUUAAGUUCAGCGGGUAUUCCUACCUGAUCCGAGGUCAACAUUCAGAAGUUGGGGUUUUACGGCGUGGCCGCGACGAUUACCAGUAA
rnacentral:rRNA from 1 species